rnacentral:lncRNA from 1 species
AAAAAAAGAGUUAUAAAUAUUUCCAAGAAAAACAAAAACAUAAAAGUUACAGUGACAGCAUUCAAAAGUGUAAUAUUUCAAAACUUAAAAUAUCUCAUUGUCAUAAGCAAUUUAUUUGUAAUGUAUUUAUAUAUCCUCUCUUUUUUUCCUGAUCAAAUCUAUUCUUGAUGAAUGAUGUAUUGUAUACUCUUAAAAUUUCUACAUUUUUAUAGUGGAUUUAUACACUAUUUAGGUUUUACUUGUUACAUAUGUCAACAGUAAGAAAGUUUAAUGUACACCACAUAUAUUGACAUGAAUAUCUUUUUCUGUUAGUUAUAAUUAAACUCAUCAUAGAUACCAGGACUAAAUUUAGUAUAUACAACAGACGCACGUUUCUUCUACAAAUGACUCAUCAGUGACGCUCAUAUCAAAAAAAGUUAAAAAGGUCAAAUAAAGUACGAAGUUGAAGAGCAUUGAGGAUGAAAAUUCCUAAUUAUUUUGCCAAAUACAGCUAAGGUAAUCUAUGCCUAAGGUAAAAAAGCCUUAGUAUUUCAAAAAAUUCAAACUAUUCAUAUAGUGUGUGUGGUUACAAUUGAGACAUUACAUAACAAAUGUAAAUAUUCGGUUACAGUUAAAUACAUGUUGUUCCUGAUGAGGUAUCACAAUAACAACUAACUUGAUAAAAACCUUUUUAAACUACAUGUAGUUCUAUGACUCCAAAAGGAUAAUCCCCACCCUGCAAGACAAUUACAUAUAGAAGUAAAUUUGAUUAUCUCCCCUUAAACAUGUUGCAUCUGAUUUAUGGUACUGUUCCACAACUGUGUUAAGUUUCAUUGAUAUCAAUUCAUCCAUUUCUGAAGAGUUUCACUUGCAGGAUACAGGGACAGACAUUUAGUGGCAUACAGGUUAUCUCUAAAUACUAAGUUUGUUGGUGGUAUAAAAAAUAAAAUUUCAAAAGGUAGAUUUUGUGGAAUGAAGCUCUAAUUUGCUUCUCCACUAAGACAAAAAUGUUGUGUCACUUUUUAACAAAGUUUAAGAGAACUAACAUUUUUAUAAAAAGAGCUUCAGUUACAAUAUAUUUAGUAAACAUCUGAAUGUAAAAAAAAAUACAAUAUUGCAUAUAGUGACAG